UAACAAUAGUCGGAGGCUAAGGGCUGUUCUUGGCUCCAUGGGGUUUCUGCAGGAACUUCAAUACGACAGGAAGAUCAACCAAGCAAAGAACCUAGAAGGGAAGAAAGAAAAAGUUUCCUUCCCCUCCAGUUUUGGUGCCCAGUGGGGGGGCACUUCACGGCCUGGGCAUGGCUCGUUCUGCUGCUGUGGCCACUGAGAAGUCCCAGGACCCCAGAUGAGAGCAGGCAGAAGACAUGCCUCUUUGAAAUACCUCACUGCCUGGACAAUAUAGGCCUAACCUUGGGAAGCCGCCUGCCUCACUGCUCCUGAAAUGAGUCACAACGUUCUCAGGACUGAGACUGGUUCAGUAAGAGACAGAAAAAUCCACUACUGAGCUCCUAACCUGACCCUGCUCUCCAUAGACGUUAGCUCAGGUUUUCACAGGCAAGACGUCCAGGGAAGUUUCUGAGGAGGGAACUGAUGGGCUUCAGGGAGGGCUGACCCCACAUAGGCCACUUUGAUACAUUGAUAAUUUUGAAUUUAAGUUACUCAAGAAACAGUGCGUGAAGGACACUCUGACCCUCUUUCGUUCCCCUGAAAGUAGGAAAUAAAUCUCCCCAGUGAAAGGUACCUUCCUUGUACGAGGAGGUAAAGAGACAGGCCUAUCACCAGGGAUAUGGAAUUCAGGGCUAAAAAAGUGAUAAAAACCUACUGUCUUCCUUCACUAAUUUACUACCGCAAACUUCGCUGUCUUGUCAAUUCUUUUUCUUGUCACAAGUUCACUGUUUCUUUGUCUGUAAGGUCUAAAACUGUCCACUUGGGUCACUUCCCGGAGUCUCGUAUUUCUGUGAGCUCUCCACAUCGAAAAUUAACAUUUACUUUCUUGCCCCCUCCUGUUGAUCUGUUUUGCGUCAAAUGAAUUAUUAGACCAAAGAACCUAGAAGGGAAGAAAGGAAGUUUUCCUCCCCUACACGGGGUCUCCUGAUCAGGAUUUACUCUUCUCGACAUUCAGAUAAGCUCUCCCGGGUGCGCCUGGCACUGACUGGGCUCAGCCCCCCAGGACGUGGUGCCGCGGGAGAGAGGCCACGCUCCCUGGCGUCAGACUUGGUCUUUGUAAUGACUUGGGCUUCGAGUUUGCUGUAGAUACUAUCUUAAAAAGAUGUUCUCACUCAACACAAAAUCAAGUAUGACAGGAAAAGCCUGGGGCAUUAGGGGUGACCAGCACCCACUGCAGAGAGAGGACAGGAAGGAGGGCGGGGUGGGCGCCACAGGGGCGGUGGGGGGCAGGGCAGAAAGGCAGGGAGGCCUCCUGCAGGGUUUUGCUGGCUUCCCAGGCGGCUGUAUCCCUCUGAGCUGUCAAUCUUGGCUCCUUUCUGACCACUAAUUUCCCCUUAAAGAGUUGUUUCCCCCACGGCUCCCCCUCUGCCUUUCUUGAAGGGCCCUUUAAAGCAGGCCCUAAGUUAAAUAAACACACAAGGGAGACAAGCCAGGGCAGUCCCAUGUGAAGGAUGCAGGCAGGAAGGUCAGGGAGGCCAGGGUCGUAGGCAUGGGUGUGUAUGGGUGUGUGAGGGUGUGGAUGUGUACAUUUGUGUGUGUGUGAAUGUGUUGGAUGUGUGUGUGUUUGUGCGUGUAUGUACAUGCGUGGGGAUUGGUGCUGGGUACCCCGUAGCCCUUUUGCCUCCUUCCCCUCUCUUCUGUUUCCUGGGCCUCCCAUGAGUCUCUUGGGCAACCGCCAUCUUCCCAGAUAGCUGUGCCGACGCUCAUCUUCAACUCACUCGAUUUUAACCCGCGCCUGCCCUCCCUCCCCCCCUUUUCCACGCCUUCCCUUCCUUUGUUUACUUUUCCAGUGGAAUAGAACUUCCUAAGAUUUUAAAAAGUGAACAUGCGGCUACAUGUAGGAAAGGACAACAGGAAGGGAAUGGGCCGUGCUCUGAGCUCAGCUCUCCACACUUUAUGUGGGUUACAGGGCUAACUGUGGUGACCCUAUGGGCGGCUGGGAAGAUGUGAUGGGAUAACACGCAUAGAACAUUCAGAGCAGGGCCUGGCACGCGGUUGACAUUCAGGAUUACUGAGCACUCCCGUUAUUGCAGGAUUUCCCGUCAGCAGCUCGGUGGCCACCGUCGCAGGUCCCACUCUGGAUCCACAGACCCGUCUGCCUCACAGUAUAGAAAUGCCGUUUUCUGUGUCGUCAGUUUUUUGCUUACCUGACUUGGAAAUGGCUGGACUACAUACAUGAUUUUCAUGAGAUCCCUAAGCCUAAUGGAGAACAGAGAGACUUCUAGAAAGAUCUGGAGCCUAAGAGUUGGCCCUACCUACCGUUGGGACAAGGCCCCUCAAAAGGAGAUAGGAGAACUGCCCUUGGCUUUUGUGAGAACUUCGUGGCUGGGGAAAUCCAUUUCUCUUUCUGGGUUUCAGUUCUUAAGCAACAGAACAGGGACAAUGAACCACGGCACAGUAUUUUGUGAGGGCUAGCGAGCCGAUGUCUGUGACAGCCCUGGAAAGUCUAAAGCUAGACAGAUGGGGGCUGCGCUGGCAAAGCUAUUCUUUCUCACCCAAGGAAAGAGCCCUGGGGAAAGUCACAGUAAUUUGGAGCUGGACUGAGCUUGACAUUUAUAGUUCAAGUGAGGCAUUUUACACAUGAGAAAACAGGACGGGGAGGAGGGGGUGCCUCGGCCGUCCCCACGCAGAGCAGACACCAGGGUCGCCACACAGGCUCCUCUCACUAGACCAUGUGGAAGAUCACCCAGGGAGUCCAGGUGUGGGUCUGGUCCCACUGACAGAUUUGCCAUGGGCAGUUCUCAAGGCCCCUGUUGGUACUGACAGGUGCACACGCUCAGGUAACUGCCACGACUGAGGCAUAGAACCCUUUUGUCACUGCACGAGAAUUCCCUCAUGCCCCUUGGCCGUCAGCCCACUCUCCAUCCCCUCUAGCAACAUCGCUCUGGGUUUUGCCCCUCUAUCAUUCUGCCUUUUUUCAGAUCAUCCUACAUCUUCGUCCAUCAUCAGAGCUCUUACAACAAAUAUACCAUAAACCGAGUAGUUUAAGCAGAACAGAAUUCGUUUGGUCCAGUUCAAGACCUGGAAGUACUAGGAGAUUCGGCCUCCCGGGAAAGCCUGCUUCCUGGUGCUUCUCGCCGAGUCCUUGCAUGACCCAAGGGGCAAGGGCCCGAAUCCCCUUCAUGCCAACGCCCCCCGCUCCAAAUGCCACCACACUGGGGGUUCUGGUUUAACACAUAAAUUUCGGGGACACAAACUUGCCGUCUAUGGCAUCCUAUACAUGGAAAAUUGAGCGUGCGGCCUUCUGAAUCUGGAGUUGUCACUCGGACUGAUGCACUGGACCAUUCAUCAGUAACUGUCUCAUGGAUCAGAGGGGGGCAUUUUAUAUUAGCAAAGUGUUCAUGCAUGGAAGCAUUACAGACUGUUUAACCACACACCGACUAACGCACAUGCAGGCGAUUGCAAGUCUUUGACUAUCAAAAUAAGGCUGCUACGAAAAGUCACCUACUCACACCUUCCCCUAUCCCUUCCUCCCCGGGAAAAUCCCUAAAAGUGAAAUCCUGCAUCGUUGGCAAGUAUAUGGUAGGUAACUUUAGAAGGAACUGCCAACCUGUUUUUCCUUGCCAGCAACGUAGGAGAGUGCUACUUGCUCCGAAUUCUUACCGGCACCUGGUCCUGACAGUCCUCUUAUUCGUUCCAUUGUCAGAGGUGUGAAGCCCUAUCUCAGGUGUGAAGUGGUUUUAAUAUUUGCCUGGUUACUGGUGACAUAGAGCAUCUUUUUGUAUGCUAAUUUGCCAUUUUUAUGCCCUCCUUGGUAAAGCGCCAGCUGAGAUCAUUUGUCCACUUUCUAAAAUUGGGCUUUCGUUUUCUUGAAUUUUAAGAAGUAUUUAGAUUUACUGGAUAUAAGUCCUUUAACGUGGCAAAUAUUUUUGUCCCUGUCUGUGCCUUAC